rnacentral:rRNA from 1 species
UACGAAGGGUGCAAGCGUUACUCGGAAUUACUGGGCGUAAAGCGUGCGUAGGUGGUUUGUUAAGUCUGAUGUGAAAGCCCUGGGCUCAACCUGGUAACGGCAUUGGAAACUGGCUUACUAGAGUGCGGUAGAGGGGUGUGGAAUUCCCGGUGUAGCAGUGAAAUGCGUAGAUAUCGGGAGGAACAUCUGUGGCGAAGGCGACACCCUGGACCAGCACUGACACUGAGGCACGAAAGCGUGGGGAGCAAACAGG